rnacentral:rRNA from 1 species
AGAGUUUGAUCCUGGCUCAGAACGUACGCUGGCGGCACGCCUAACACAUGCAAGUCGAACGCAGUAGCAAUACUGAGUGGCGAACGGGUGAGUAUAAUGUGGGUAUCUGCCUUUUGGUUUGGAAUAACACGAGGAAACUUGUGCUAAUACCGGAUAAGCCCUUACGGGGAAAGUUUUAACGCCAAAAGAUGAGCCCGCACUUGAUUAGCUAGUUGGUAAGGUAAUGGCUUACCAAGGCUACGAUCAAUAGCUGAUCUGAGAGGAUGAUCAGCCACAUUGGGACUGAGACACGGCCCAGACUCCUACGGGAGGCAGCAGUGGGGAAUCUUGCACAAUGGGGGAAACUCUGAUGCAGCGAUGCCGCGUGAGUGAAGAAGGCCUUUGGGUUGUAAAGCUCUUUCGUCGGGGAAGAAAAUGACUGUACCCGAAUAAGAAGGUCCGGCUAACUUCGUGCCAGCAGCCGCGGUAAUACGAAGGGACCUAGCGUAGUUCGGAAUUACUGGGCUUAAAGAGUUCGUAGGUGGUUAAAAUAGUUGGUGGUGAAAUCCCAGAGCUUAACUCUGGAACUGCCAUCAAAACUUUUUAGCUAGAGUAUGAUAGAGGAAAGCAGAAUUUCUAGUGUAGAGGUGAAAUUCGUAGAUAUUAGAAAGAAUACCGAUUGCGAAGGCAGCUUUCUGGAUCAUUACUGACACUGAGGAACGAAAGCAUGGGUAGCGAAGAGGAUUAGAUACCCUCGUAGUCCAUGCCGUAAACGAUGUGUGUUAGACGUUGGAAAUUUAUUUUUCAGUGUCGCAGCAAAAGCGAUAAACACACCGCCUGGGGAGUACGACCGCAAGGUUAAAACUCAAAUGAAUUGACGGGGACCCGCACAAGUAGUGGAGCAUGUGGUUUAAUUCGAAGAUACGCGCAGAACCUUACCAACACUUGACAUGUUCGUCGCGACUCUAAGAGAUUAGAGUUUUCGGUUCGGCCGGACGAAACACAGGUGCUGCAUGGCUGUCGUCAGCUCGUGUCGUGAGAUGUUGGGUUAAGUCCCGCAACGAGCGCAACCCUCACUUUUAGUUGCCAUCAUUAAGUUGGGCACUCUGAAAGAACUGCCAGUGAUAAGCUGGAGGAAGGUGGGGAUGACGUCAAGUCCUCAUGGCCCUUACGUGUUGGGCUACACACGUGCUACAAUGGCAUUUACAAUAGGAAGCAAAAUGGCGACAUUAAGCAAAUCCUAAAAAAAUGCCUCAGUUCGGAUUGUACUCUGCAACUCGAGUACAUGAAGCUGGAAUUACUAGUAAUCGCGGAUCAGCGCGCCGCGGUGAAUACGUUCCCGGGUCUUGUACACACCGCCCGUCACACCAUGGGAGUUGGUUCUACCUUAAGGCAAAGUUUAAAACCUUUGACCACGGUAUAGUCAGCGACUGGGGUGAAGUCGUAACAAGGUAACC